GACGAACGCUGGCGGCGUGCUUAACACAUGCAAGUCGAGCGAUGAAGCACCUUCGGGUGUGAAUUAGCGGCGAACGGGUGAGGAACACGUGAGAAAUCUGCCUUCAACUCUGGGAUAACUCCGUGAAAACGGGGCUAAUACCGGAUAUGAAACCUGCGGGCAUCCGCGGGUUUGGAAAGUUUUUCGGUUGAAGAUGAUCUCGCGGCCUAUCAGCUUGUUGGUGAGGUAAUGGCUCACCAAGGCGACGACGGGUAGCCGGCCUGAGAGGGCGACCGGCCAGACUGGGACUGAGACACGGCCCAGACUCCUACGGGAGGCAGCAGUGGGGAAUAUUGGGCAAUGGAGGAAACUCUGACCCAGCGACGCCGCGUGCGGGAUGAAGGCCUUCGGGUUGUAAACCGCUUUCAGCAGGGAAGAAGCGAAAGUGACGGUACCUGCAGAAGAAGCACCGGCUAACUAUGUGCCAGCAGCCGCCGCAG
rnacentral:rRNA from 1 species